GGAUACCCGCUGAACUUAAGCAUAUCAAUAAGCGGAGGAAAAGAAACCAACAGGGAUUGCCYUAGUAACGGCGAGUGAAGCGGCAACAGCUCAAAUUUGAAAGCUGGCGUCCCCGCGGGCGCCYGCGUUGUAAUUGGGAGAGGGUGCUUCGGCACCGGCCCCGGCCUAAGUUCUUUGGAACGAGACGUCAGAGAGGGUGAGAACCCCGUACGCGGCCGGCGGCGCGGCGCCAUGUGAAGCCCCUUCGACGAGUCGAGUUGUUUGGGAAUGCAGCUCUAAGUGGGAGGUAAAUUUCUUCUAAAGCUAAAUACCGGCCAGAGACCGAUAGCGCACAAGUAGAGUGAUCGAAAGAUGAAAAGCACUUUGGAAAGAGAGUCAAACAGCACGUGAAAUUGUUGAAAGGGAAGCGCUUGCACCCAGACGUGCCCGCCGUUGCUCACCCCGGCCCCCCGGCCGGGGGCACUCGGCGGCGGGCAGGCCAGCAUCAGUUCGGGCGGCGGGACAAAGGCGGCGGGAAUGUGGCUCUCCCCGGAGAGUGUUAUAGCCCGCCGCGGCAUGCCGCCAGCCCGGACUGAGG
rnacentral:rRNA from 1 species